GUGGAUCAAAAUGAAUGGGAAGGAUAAGUUAACACUGGCGUGAUCGGUAGUGACUUUUAAGUGUGAAGCAUUAAGGGCUAUUUGGGAGAGCUGUUUUUUCCUGUUUGUUUGUUAAUUUAUUUUUAUACUCCCCCCCCCCCCCCGAUUUUGACAAUGUUGUCUGGUUCUUUAUGAGGUGGCACCAGGUCAGCAACUGGAAUGCCCAUCUUCCAUUUCAAUCUGAACUUCUCAGUGUGUCAUUCUUUCUUGGGAGCACUACACUCUUUUCUAGGAAUAGCUACAACACUGGGUUUUAUUAAUAAUGCUUGCUUUAGCUUGCACUGUGCUGUCCCUGUCUAGAAUGCCGGACUUGAUUAUUUUGGGGUCUGGUUGUGCAUUCUCCAUGUGAAAGUGAUGGCUUAUUAGCGAUUGUACAUUCUGUGGGAAGAAAGGACUUGCUGACAUUCUAACCAUCUCCACAACUUGGAUGAGAGAACUAAAUGAAUUGCUGCCUCUCUUUCCCAAGUUUCAGUGUUUGUCACAAAACAUGAGAAAAUGGUGCUAGAUGAAUGAGCGCUAACUAAAUCUCAUCAGUGGAGCAAUUUACCAUCAAUAAAUUUAGAUGCUAUGGCGGUAGAAGCAUUUCCAAAGGUGACUGCUUUAAAUCACUUAGUGGUUGUAUUAAACACCUUAAAUCACUUAUAAUAGUGAUCGUAUUAAACAGCUGGUGCCAGCAAGGAUAAUCUGCAUAUAAAUACAGGCUUUCCACAGCAUCCUUUUUUGGAUUGCAUCUCUUGCACACAACCCACUACUUAGGGCUGCACAUAACCUUGAUUGCCACUCUUAGAGCUGACAGCCUUGACAAUCAUCCAUUUGUACAGGGGAAUGGACUGAAGUCAGCUCCCCUUUUCUCUCCCAGCAGGUGAUCAGCGCACUCUCAGAGUUUGACACCACCAUCUGUCCAGCAGGCCCAUGCACGGCAAUCCUUGUGCAUGAUAGCCUGUGUAUAGCUCAUUGCUCUGGACUAGAGUAUGUGAUUUAGAGCUGUAGAACGGAUGCAAAGUAGAUCUAAAAAAAUAAUAGUCAUGGGCUAAAUGAUAUUAGAAUAUUAUUUUAAUAAGCAUUGACCCAUUUUGAUUUUUGCGACACAUGCCAGAUAAGCACUUAGGAAUGAUGGAAAUGCUAUUUAAAUUAUAUACAUAUAGUGCUUAAAUGGUAUGUUAGUAUUAGGGGUUUUUUUCCUGUGACAGCCUUCCCCAAUGUGGUGUCCUCUGGAUGUUUUGGCAUACAGCUCUUUUGAUUCCACACUACUGGAUAGUUGUAGUCCAAGCAAUCAGGAGAGCACAUUAGGGAAGGAUGACCUAGAGAAUCAAAAGUAAUUCAGUUUCAGUUUAGGUUCCAAUCCUCAGUGGGUUUUUCUUUUAGAGCUUAUCAACAAAAAUGAGAAACUCUGAUUUCCAUCCUCCGUCCACCUUUAAGGUGAUCAGAGUUCCUUUCUCUCUCACAAUGCAAUCCUGUGCAUGUUUACUUGGAAAUGUCCUGUUGUGUUUUUGUCAUAAAUGUGUUCAGGAUUGCAGCCUUAAUCUGGGUACAAGGACUAGGAGGAAACAAUUGCGAAAGGCUGCUUUGGAAUAUUUCUCAGUUAUAUAGUUUGAUGAUUCAGUGUUAGGGCAUGUAAGAAAAAAAUGAGAGGCAUUAGGGAACAUUUUUUGAUCCUGUCCAAGAAUUCGCUAGGGGCUAGGAAUCAUAAGGCUGUUUUUUAAAAAUAAGGUUAGGUCCCCUGUGUUCUGACCGCAAGCAUGCUUUAGCAUAAUCAGAUUGCUCCAGCGAUAUGAAUGGUAUGGUGCCCAGUAAGAUGGUGUUGGAGAGUAAACAAGGGAAACUGAGAGCUAAGACCUUUGGACUCUUUGUUUCUUGCUGUUAAAAAAAAACUUAAUGGGGAAAAACAAGUUGCUAGGAAUAUGGAAUAAUGGAAUAACGAAGGUUUCAAAAUAAGGUGUGUCUCCUUCUUCCAGCAUCCUUGUAGCUACCGGUAUAUCUUCUUGUAACUGAUUAUAGAAUCAUAUCAACACCAGCUCUCCAGGGGAAGUAUAACGUAUGGUUCUGGGAACCGGGAUACAUAGCUCCAGCCUUGCACAUGUGUGCAAACUUUCUAUUCUAAUAUUUUCCUUCUUAGGAAUAGAACCAAAGAUAUCCCAAAGUAUAAUAACUCAGCCUCAAAUUGUACAUAAUGGCUUUGCUGGACACUCAAAUACAGGGAUUCUUGAGCUAUAAACUUUUUAAGAUUUAAAACUCUGCCAGUGCAUUAAAAGAAGAAAAUGCUUUUUGCUAUAUAUAUUUAUUGUACAAAAAAAAUCUAAAAAAGGACAAAGAGAAAAUGGAACAGAAGCAAUGGUUAUGAUAUACUGGACAGACUAAAGCCAGUUACAGAACAAAUUUAGUUUAUACAACACAGAAGAGAAAUAUAGCCAAGGCAAUCCUUAUUUGUGUUUGCUUUCCUCUAAUUUUCUUUUUCUAAGAUGUAUGUGAAAUAACAGCUGUUACAAGAUCCAGUUGUUCUGACCCCAGUUCCUCAUAAAUGAGUGCCAUCUUAAUUUAAUUUUUGUGUUUUCAGUCAGUAACCCCUAUGGGGCAGGAGAGAUUAGAAAAUAUGUGCAAUGGUGGAUUUUUGGCAAAGCGAACAGCUAGGAGCUUGUUCAACUGAGAGAGGAAUACUGUUUUCACGGUAAAAGGUCUGUGACAUAAUUCUUAACUAACUCUAAAUUUGUUAAGUGAAACAGACCAUAACUGUGUCAAUUUGAUAAAUGGCAAUGAAACCAUGUAAAAAAACAGCAUCAAAAAUAGGGUAUGAUAUGGCAUGAUUUUUGAAGGCAGCAAAAUGCCAGCAGAAUUAGAUUGGUUUCUUUUUUCCAAUAAAUAGGUACAGUGGUACCUUGGUUUACGAACUUAAUCCGUUCCGGAAGCCCGUUCUUAAACCAAGGCGUGCUUUCCCAUAGCAGCGGGGGACUUAGUUUACAAAUGGAACACACUCAACAGGAAGCGAAACAUGUUCUGCUUCCAAGGCAAAGUUCACAAACCAAAACACCUACUUCCAGGUUUGCAGCUUUCUUAAUCCAAGUUGUUCAUAAACUAAGCCGUUCUUAAACCAAGGUACCACUGUACUGAAAAAUUUACAGAGAACUCCUAACACUCAGAUCCACUGGCUGGAGGGGUUAGGAUUAGGCAGAGGUGCCUCUCUAUCAGCAAAGAAGCAUUCUGCUUCUAGGCAGAUCACUUCAGCAGUGGGGGCUCUCACCGUACCCAUAGAAUGCUGCAUGGACAUUGCAGAGUGGAGAUGGGGUUGGGGUGAAUUUGAGUCUACUAGGUUAAAGUCCCCUUCAUUCUCUUGAGAGAGGCCCAACGAUCAGGUUCUCUCCACCUAUGUUAGCCUAAAGCUGGUAUAAAUAAUUUCCCCCACUGGCAUCAAAAAAAAUCCACCACUUCACACCCCACCCCACUUAGAGUAACUGUCAGUCAUUUCUGUGCCUUUACGUUUUCCUCAUUUCUGGAUUCUGUAAUUAAGUCUCAUACUACUGGUAUAAAAGAUAUCCCUGUUCCACAGAUGAUACAGAGAUAAAGCUAAUUUGCCUCAAAGUUACACCAAAAUUGAUGCUGAAGCUUACAGAAGAGUUAAAUAGUUUUAAGAGCAAGCCCUUUAGUACUAAGUAUUAUGCCAUCCAUUCUCCUGUUGACACAUUCUUGACUCGCAGGCAACAGCAAAAAACUGUCUUUCUAGGACUCCUCUUUUCCCCAUAAAUGAGGCACAAUCUGUAAUUGUGCUAAAAGUCUAACUUCAGCCUCUUCUCCCAGACUUAAUUAUUUGGCAUGGGUUCUUCUCGCUCGUCCAUGACAACUUGGGGGAAACUAAAGCUAGCUGGACAUUGGUUGACUAAUUCUAAACUAUUAAAGAUCUUCAGAAAGAUUUGAUAGCAAGAAGAAGUACAUAAAUGGCCGGUAGGUGUUUAUUUCACUGAGAAAUCAGCUAGUGAGUUAGUUUGCCCUAUGAGCAUUGUAUUCAGUAGCAUGGCAGUAACAAGACACUUUGUGGCUUGGAAGUCAGAUAUAACAAUGUGUGGUUGCUGAGAUGGCAGAACUACGCAGUGUAUUGCCUUCGGCAGGAAAGGAUUCGACACCAAGAUUCAUAUGCACUAAUCUUCACACACAGCCAUUAC